rnacentral:rRNA from 1 species
CUUACACAUGCAAGUCGAGGGGCAGCACGAGGUAGCAAUACUUUGGUGGCGACCGGCGCACGGGUGAGUAACGCGUAUGCAACCUUCCUUUUACAGGAGGAUAGCUUCCGGAAACGGAAAUUAAUACUCCAUACAAUUACGAAGUGGCAUCACUUUCAGAUUAAAGCUACGGCGGUAAAAGAUGGGCAUGCGUAACAUUAGCUAGUUGGUGAGGUAAAGGCUCACCAAGGCGACGAUGUUUAGGGGUCCUGAGAGGGUUAUCCCCCACACUGGUACUGAGACACGGACCAGACUCCUACGGGAGGCAGCAGUGAGGAAUAUUGGUCAAUGGGCGCAAGCCUGAACCAGCCAUCCCGCGUGCAUGAAGACGGCCCUAUGGGUUGUAAACUGCUUUUCUGAGGGAAGAAUAACGCUGAUUCGUUCAGUGGACGACGGUACCUCAGGAAUAAGCAUCGGCUAACUCCGUGCCAGCAGCCGCUGUAAUACGGAGGAUGCAAGCGUUAUCCGGAUUCAUUGGGUUUAAGGGGUGCGUAGGCGGACUGGUAAGUCAGUGGUGAAAUCCUGCAGCUUAACUGUGGAAUUGCCAUUGAAACUGUCAGUCUUGAGUCAGGUUGAGGUAGGCGGAAUGUGUAAUGUAGCGGUGAACUGCUUAGAUAUUACACAGAACACCGAUUGCGUAGGCAGCUUACUGGACCUGCACUGACGCUGAGGCACGAAAGCGUGGGGAUCAA